GAAUCUGCGGCCUAUCAGGUUGUAGUGGGUGUAGUGUACCUACUAGCCGACGACGGGUACGGGUUGUGAGAGCAAGAGCCCGGAGAUGGAUUCUGAGACAUGAAUCCAGGCCCUACGGGGCGCAGCAGGCGCGAAAACUUUACAAUGCGGGAAACCGCGAUAAGGGGACACUGAGUGCCAGCAUCUUAUGUUGGCUGUCCACAUGUGUAAAUAGCAUGUGUUAGCAAGGGCCGGGCAAGACCGGUGCCAGCCGCCGCGGUAACACCGGCGGCCCGAGUGGUGACCACUAUUAUUGGGUCUAAAGGGUCCGUAGCCGGUUUGAUCAGUCUUCCGGGAAAUCUGACAGCUCAACUGUUAGGCUUCCGGGGGAUACUGUCAGACUUGGGACCGGGAGAGGUAAGAGGUACUACAGGGGUAGGAGUGAAAUCUUGUAAUCCUUGUGGGACCACCAGUGGCGAAGGCGUCUUACCAGAACGGGUCCGACGGUGAGGGACGAAAGCUGGGGGCACGAACCGGAUUAGAUACCCGGGUAGUCCCAGCCGUAAACGAUGCUCGCUAGGUGUCUGGGACGGUGCGACCGUUUCAGGUGCCGCAGGGAAGCCGUGAAGCGAGCCACCUGGGAAGUACGGCCGCAAGGCUGAAACUUAAAGGAAUUGGCGGGGAGCACAAUCUCUAGAG
rnacentral:rRNA from 1 species